AUUUCUCCUAAUCAUUGUGUGCUAAGGACAGUGUGACUAUUGCAAUCACAAUGAUCGUUUGCUGAUGUAGGAUUCGGUCACUUCAAUUGUUAUAGUUGUAGCUGAGUAGUGAAUUACUCUUUAUAUAAUUUUCACAUUUUUGUCAUAAAUAAUUGUUCGAUAGUGUAAAUGACACUGUCUAGCCUUGGGUACUAAAUACUAUUCUCGAAACCAUGGUCAUUAAAUUUUAGUGCCUAGAGAAAGACCGUUCGGGCUGCUAGCACGUGCUACUACUAACACAAAGGUACUUGGGGUAAACAUUAGUUAUUGUCACUCGUGAAAAAGAAGCAUGGCAAGCAAUAGAGGCUCGGACAAAAUACAACCCAGCUGUCAUGGCGCAUCUACCUCCGCCAUGUGUCCACGUUUUAACGAAAAUAAUGCAACAAAGGAUGUGAAUGGUGAUAUUAAAAAAUCAAAAGGCAACCAUGUACGGAGUGAAGGAUUUGCCAUCACGGAAGUACGAGGAGACUUGUUUACGUGUCCAGAUACAGCCUCACUAGCCCAUUGUAUCUCCCAGGAUAUUCGGAUGGGGAAGGGCAUUGCAACUCUUUUCAAGGCAAAGUUUGGACGUGUUCAGGAGUUAAGUGAUCAGUGUCGCAAACCAGGAGAAGUUGCCGUCCUGAAACAUGGUCAGAGAUUUAUCUAUUACUUAGUCACUAAGGAACGAUAUUGGCACAAGCCUACAUAUCUAAGUCUUCGGUCCUCUCUACAAGCGAUGAAACGCCAUGCUCUUCAGCAUAAUGUUGCUGCCAUUGCUAUGCCUCGCAUCGGAUGUGGACUUGAUGGUCUAGUUUGGGACCGAGUCCGUGAGAUUCUUACUGAUGUAUAUAAAGAUACCGAUAUCAAGAUUUCCGUUUAUUCCAUUUGAGGCUUUCUACUCGAUAUAUACAAAGCAUAUGAAGAUGAUCAACUGUAUAGAAAUGAGGUCUUCUUUCCAAGUGUUGGAAAGAUGAGUACAACUUUUAUUUUGGGUAGAAAGAGGCUGUGUUUUGCUCUUAGAAGUUGAUAAGAACUGCCAUGGUGUGUUUUUACCUGAGCCUAGAGAUAAGGACCUUCCUGGUGCUCUGCUACCUAAUACUUCGCACAUUACGCUUAACUUUGAAUUGAGAUGAUGGAGGCUGACUUGUGGCAAACCAACUACUCCUUAAGAAGCUUGCAAGUGCUGGACACACACUUUUUGUACAAUGAAACAUUUGUAUAAAGAGUCUAAGACAUGGUUUUGGAAGACUCCUACUGGCAAGUGGAUUAAUGUAAAAAAUAAAAAAAAGUUUAUAUACAGUUUGUGUUAUCAUCUUUUAUAAUAUGAUUCACAGUAAUUUGGUCUAAAUCCCAUCUGACAGAUUCUGUUAUACAGGAUUUAAUGUGUCUUGAAGGUAAAACAAAGAAGCCAUGUUUGCAGGAGAUUGUCAGCUUUGGGAUUAAGCGGUGUGACUGUGAUAUCACUCAACUUGAAGGGCCAUCAUGCUUUUACAAAAGAAGCAACAAAAAUAUAUCUUUGAUAUUACUCCGGUGCCAAGAAGAUUUCUCAAGCAGAAUAUUGUAAUUAUAGUAAAGUAAGUUCCAUUUAGAUGUGAACUUUGGAAUGGAAACAAUUUUCAAAAGAAUAAUCUGCUAAGAUGGAAAAUUGGAAGUGAGAUGAAGAAAAAAAAUGAAGAGUAAUAAAAGUCUUGUAAAAGGCAUUUUAAAAAUUUAAUCUUUACCUGUUAUGCUUCAUAAUCAAAAGCUUUCAUUUGUUUGUAAUGUUAAUCUUUUACUCCUUUUUUUGAGAGAAAAAAAUCAAGUAUUAUUUGUAACUCCAGACUUAUCGAUAAAAAUCCAACAAGAUUUUGUCCCAGUAUCAUUAAAGUUCCCCUGAAAUGAGAUUAUGUAUAUUUAACCAGUGAUAUUAAUAUCCUUUUCAUACACUUAGAAGAAACCUUGUUAAAGGCUGUAUUGAGUGUGGUCAUUGCAGAUAUCAGUAACUGUUUUCUCAUGGUAUUGGUGUAAAAAGGGAGAUAUUGUUUACUCCAUGGUAAUAAUUUAUGAUCUAAGUUAUAUAAAAAGAUGUGAGCUCGAAAGAUUAAAGUGAGAUACAUGAUUUUUUUUUGUAUUGAAAUGAAAGUAGAUGUGCAACACAGCAUGGAGAGUGAAUUGAUAUUCUUUAUUUUUAUGAUUGUAUUUUUUUGUAAUAUGGAACAUUGAAUAAAGUGAUGUUAGAAAAUAGAGUACA
rnacentral:misc_RNA from 1 species